rnacentral:tRNA from 1 species
GCCAGAGUGGCGAAAUUGGUAGACGCAGCGGACUCAAAAUCCGCCGGGGGUGACCCCAUGCCGGUUCGAGUCCGGCCUCUGGUACCA